UCACCUGCAUGAACCCAUCGAAUUGGUUCAGAGAAAAGCAGCAUUGAUUUGAUACAAACAUAACAUUUCCCUCACAGUACUUUGAGAUCACUGAAACCCCACCUGAUGUGGUGGAAGUUUGUCGAACCAGAUCAGAACGCCUUCGAGGACCACUUUCAGACACGGGCUGAGAAGGAUGUGGAGGUAUUUGACCAGUUGAGACUGAACAUGGACAAGGCGCCAGGAGAAAAAGGAGAGCCACCGGAGGAGAAUCAAGGGGACUAAGUGCUUUGACAUCCGGGCGAAUGACUUGGCUUGGAAGAAAGACGAAAGGAAGGACCUAGGAUUCUGCCUAACACCCAGACAUGGAUCCACCUGAUGUCCUCCAUUACCAACCACCCUCCAACUUUUCAUUACACCAGCUACUGUUAUUAUCAUGUUGUCAUUAUCUGCUAAGAAAGAGCAAGAAAACUAUCAUACUGGGCACAUAAUGUGAGCUGCACAGAUUAGCUAAAAACACGAGCACUGCAAACACUCAGAACAAAGAGAGCAGCAGCGCCUGGACUUUGCAGUCUCCCUCUUCGAGUCCCCCUUCCGAGACUGACUACCUGUUGAAAACCAGUGACGGGCAGAACCUCCCAUCCACACAGCACCCACCACCUCUCUAUUCACCCAUCUACCAGAAUUCCGUAUUUCAGUCAUACGUAUUCUAUCUUUUUGGUCUUUUGCGGUAGCCUACCACUAAUAUUCUAAAUUGCGGAGCAUUUAAUAAACCAACCAUACUUUCCUGUGAUGUUGAGGCUGAGCAAGACCUUCAAUAGGCUAGUAGACUAUGCGGAAAUAAUCGUAUAGUUAUUCAUUGAUAUAGCCUAGAUCGCUUUAUAUAAUCUGGACCGUUGUUUGUUCUAAGUCUAAGCAAACAAGGGCUAUCAAAUCAAAUCAAAUGUUAUUGGUCACAUGCACAUGGUUAGCAGAUGUUAAAGCGAGUGAAGUGAAAUGCUCAUGCUUCUAGUUCCAACAGUGCAGUAAUAUCUAACAAGUAAUCUAACAAAUUCACAACGACUACCUUAUACAAACAAAUGUAAAGGAAUGAAUAAGAAUAUGUACAUAUAAAUAUAUGGAUGAGCGAUGGCUGUGCGGCAUAGGCAAAAUGCAGUAGAUGGUAUAUGAGAUGAGUAAUGUAGGAUAUGUAAACAUUAUUUAAGUGGCAUUAUUUAAAGUGACUAGUGAUACCUUGAUUAAAUCCAUUUAUUCAAGUGCCCA